rnacentral:rRNA from 1 species
UUUGGUUCGGAACAACACAGGGAAACUUGUGCUAAUACCGGAUAAGCCCUUACGGGGAAAGAUUUAUCGCCGAAAGAUCGGCCCGCGUCUGAUUAGCUAGUUGGUGAGGUAAUGGCUCACCAAGGCGACGAUCAGUAGCUGGUCUGAGAGGAUGAUCAGCCACAUUGGGACUGAGACACGGCCCAAACUCCUACGGGAGGCAGCAGUGGGGAAUAUUGGACAAUGGGGGCAACCCUGAUCCAGCCAUGCCGCGUGAGUGAUGAAGGCCCUAGGGUUGUAAAGCUCUUUUGUGCGGGAAGAUAAUGACGGUACCGCAAGAAUAAGCCCCGGCUAACUUCGUGCCAGCAGCCGCGGUAAUACGAAGGGGGCUAGCGUUGCUCGGAAUCACUGGGCGUAAAGGGUGCGUAGGCGGGUCUUUAAGUCAGGGGUGAAAUCCUGGAGCUCAACUCCAGAACUGCCUUUGAUACUGAAGAUCUUGAGUCCGGGAGAGGUGAGUGGAACUGCGAGUGUAGAGGUGAAAUUCGUAGAUAUUCGCAAGAACACCAGUGGCGAAGGCGGCUCACUGGCCCGGUACUGACGCUGAGGCACGAAAGAGAAUAAGCUCCGGCUAACUCCGUGCC